CUUACUGCUAAACUUUUCCUCUGCUCCACUCGCGUUCACGUCAUAUUUCUGCCGCUCGCCCUCUGCGGUCGUGCAACUACACACGCACAUUUACACACACAUACACACACACGCACUGCUUUAUUCCUUAACGGCGCAACACUACUCCUGCAAAAACACGUAGAUGUCCUUUGACGAACAAAGAGAGUGAAGAUGACUAAAAAAUCCACAAUAACGUAGCGGUGCGCCGCUGCUGAAUGAAUAUCAGGGAAACACUGUAUACUGUAUAUUGACACACAGACUUGAAGCAAUACAGACCCAACCCAGCCUGACUGUAUACAAUUUGGAUCUGGCCAGUCUCAGGUCCCUGUUCAGGUUAUUAGGAAUCAAGUGGAGCCAUGAAGGCGUCUCCCCACAUCUUUCCAUUACUAAACAGUAGACAGAAAUAGCAAGUGACAGAUAGUGAAGAAAGACAAAGAGUUGGAGAGCGAUAGAUGCAGAUAGUUUUCUCAGAAGUUGGAAGAGACUGAACUAGUGGUAAAAAGAGAGUGAAUAUUGGACUUUGUCAGGUGACUAGAAAAACAACUCCAACUGGGUACACUGAGCACUGACUGUGCAUCUGUUAGCUUGUUUUGAUGUUUGUUUUUAUGCCCCCUAGUGGCCCAAAAGUGAUUAAUGCAUUUUAAAUCAAAUUUAAAGUACAUUUUCAUAGAUUUCUUGGCCACUUGGGGACAGCAUGGCAAGUCCGAAACAUAACUUUGGCACACUAGCACAUUAAAGAGUUAUUAUAGCAAAUAUGUUAGCAAACAAUUGCAGUUUACACAUCCAGCUAAUACGCAGGAGAAUUAUCAUUCAUUUGGAGUCGUGUUUAUUUCCACCUGAUGAAUCGAGGUGGGGAUUACACUGAGGACGAAGCGUCCUCCGGCUCCUCCUACAAACUGAAAAGGCAUCUUUCAAUGGUCUGAAGGCCAGCCUAGGCACAAUGUGUGACCACAGAUGGGGACCCGUCAUUGAGGCCUUGGUCUUCGUAGUGGUACCUCAUGUUGUGUUGUGGCCAGAGCCUUUGAUAUGCCCCAAGCCACCAUGCACCGGGCAGUCCACAUAACCAGCAGGAAAGUCUUCUCUCUCCUCCCCUAGGUCAUCUGCCUUCCACCUGAGGAGGAUUUGCCUCACCUGGGUCCAUGUUUCACACAUUUAGCCAGGUCAGCAGCCUUUAGAAGGGUAGUUGGAAGCAUUUAUGGCUGCCACGUCCGUGUGAAGCCACCAACAGAGGACGCAGCCUGUUACCUGAAUAGAAAACUAUUCUAUUCUGUUCAGUUUCAGGCUGUCUGUGACCACAGAGCCAAGUUCAUUCAUGUAUUCAUCUGUUUCCCUGGGCCGCGAUGGUGUUAAAGCACAACCCCCAUUUAUUAGCAACAGAAAUACCCUCCACCAGGGUUCUGCGUCAUUGGGGAUGAUGGCUACCCCUGCCUCAAACAACCCAUCACCCUCAUGACCCCUUACAGACAGCCUCUCCACAACCAACUCCACGUUUGCUUAAAUAGUCACCUGUCUAAAGCGAGAUGUAUUGUGGAGAGAGCUUUUGGCAUCCCAAAGAUCAGGUGGAGGUCCAUCUUCUUGAAGCCCUCUAUGUCCCGGAGGUCAUCGCCUGCUACACAGUCCUGUACAACAUCUGUCUCAGCAAUGGGGACCUGUUGGAGCCAGAGGAUGUUGAUGGAGGCAGCAGCAGGGGACCACCCAGAACCAGCACCUCCAGGCGCCAUCUGUGGAGCAGAGGACAGGCACGGGAUGACAAUGCUGUGUUGUGCACCAAAUCACGACUAUGCUCUGUAAAUUUUUGUACUAUAUUAUUGUACUGAUGUCUCGCUGUUUCCUGUUGCCCUGCACGGCUUGUGGUCUGUCUUGAGAGUUCUUGUUUUGUUGCUGUUCUUAUGGCAUCUUAUUGUCUUUGUUCUGUAAAUUUGAUCACUUUAUAGGUUUCAAAACAUCUUGCCAGCGGACUGCAGUUGAAAAUUAGCGAGCUUGCUAACACUGGCACAUGCUGAUUAAUGUGUUGUCCUUAUAAAUAAGUAAAUAAAUAAAUAUAAUAAUAAAUAUAAAUAAAUUAUAUAUAAAUGAA